rnacentral:rRNA from 1 species
UACAGAGGUCUCAAGCGUUGUUCGGAUUCAUUGGGCGUAAAGGGCGCGUAGGCGGCCAAUUAAGUCAGCUGUGAAAUCUCCGAGCUUAACUCGGAACGGUCAGCUGAUACUGAUCUGCUAGAGUGCGGAAGGGGCAAUCGGAAUUCUUGGUGUAGCGGUGAAAUGCGUAGAUAUCAAGAGGAACACCUGAGGUGAAGACGGGUUGCUGGGCCGACACUGACGCUGAGUGCGCGAAAGCCAGGGGAGCAAACGGG